rnacentral:snoRNA from 1 species
UUCCAUUACAGAUGGAAGAAGAGUUUCCUCGCGCUUUCUGUCUGAUUGUGGCAGCCAAGAUUGAAUAGAGGAACACAGAG